AACGAACGCUGGCGGCAUGCCUAACACAUGCAAGUCGAACGAGACCUUCGGGUCUAGUGGCGCACGGGUGCGUAACGCGUGGGAACCUGCCCUUAGGUUCGGAAUAACUCCCCGAAAGGGGUGCUAAUACCGGAUAAUGUCUUCGGACCAAAGAUUUAUCGCCUUUGGAUGGGCCCGCGUUGGAUUAGCUUGUUGUUAGGGUAAAAGCCUACCAAGGCGACGAUCCAUAGCUGGUCUGAGAGGAUGAUCAGCCACACUGGGACUGAGACACGGCCCAGACUCCUACGGGAGGCAGCAGUGGGGAAUAUUGGACAAUGGGCGAAAGCCUGAUCCAGCAAUGCCGCGUGAGUGAUGAAGGCCUUAGGGUUGUAAAGCUCUUUUACCCGGGAUGAUAAUGACAGUACCGGGAGAAUAAGCUCCGGCUAACUCCGUG
rnacentral:rRNA from 1 species